rnacentral:lncRNA from 1 species
AUGAGGGAGACAUCGACCCUGGGCAGGAAGAGAACACACGGGAGACGCAAUCGCCAGGACCGCCAUCUCUCCCCACCCCACAGCACAGGGGCAGCCGUCACAGGACCCCCGUCUCUCCCCACCCACAGCACAGGGGGAGCCGUCACAGGACCCCCGUCUCUCCCACCCCACAGCACAGGGGCAGCCGUCACAGGACCCCCGUCUCUCCCGACCCACAGCACAGGGGCAGCCGUCACAGGACCCCCGUCUCUCCCCACCCACAGCACAGGGGGAGCCGUCACAGGACCCCCGUCUCUCCCGACCCCACAGUACAGAGGGAGCCGUCACAGGGCCCCCGUCUCUCCCGACCCCACAGCACACGGGGAGCCGUCACAGGACCCCCGUCUCUCCCGACCCACAUCACAGGGGCAGCCGUCACAGGACCCCCGUCUCUCCCGACCCACAGCACAGAGGCAGCCGUCACAGCCACAGGGACAGGAACGCGCCGCACCCAACUGCACCCCCAGGCACAGGGCUGGGGCAGCAUGCAGACGUCACCGUAUCAGGAGACAAGCGCACGGGGGAGCCCGGGACUGCAAACCUUCCAGCCAAUGGGGGGCUGUGGGGAGCACCGUGGGCACCCACGGCCAGGAUCAUGCUGAGACCAUUCUCUGUGCCCUCGCAAGCCCAGUAACGGGAAAGGCACAGGCGGGACACACGGAAACAAGCCCGACUUUAUUAAGAGUCCCCAAAAACAAAUGACAAAAACCCAAGAAUGCACCUUUUGGAAUUAACGCAUCCAUGAGGCUGAACACACACAGAAGGCAAAGACCAGACAGAAGCAGGAACGCUCACAGCUCGUGCGGCCGCCCGGGGAAGCACACAGCUAACAGAGGGGCCGUCGCUGUGGCGCAGCGGGUUAACGCCCUGGCCUGAAGCACCGGCGUCCCAUGUGGGCGCCGGUUUGAGACCCCGCUGUUCCACUUGCGAUCCAGCUCUCUGCUGUGGCCUGGGAAAGCAGUAGAAGGUGGCCCCAGUCCUUGGGCCCCUGCACCCAUGUGGGAGACCGGGAAGAAUCUCCUGGCUCCUGGCUUCAGAUUGGCACAGCUUUGGCCAUUGAGGCCAUUUGAGUGAACCAGAGGACGGAAGACCUUUCUCUCUGUCUCUGCCUCAUUGUCUGUAACUCUACCUCUCAAAUAAACAAAUAAAAAUCUUAAAAAAAAAAAAAAAA